AAUUGAGUCACUCUCACCUCCUUCCUUUGAAAAAAAAAAACUUGGAUCGAGUCUCCUUCCUCUCUCUUCCUUCAAAGUUCUUGUUGAUCUUGUUCAAGGAAUCAAGGGCUUGCCAAGAAAAAAGAUUAGAUCCUUGAGAAAUCUGGGGUAUUUCCACAGUUCAGAUUCAUGCUUUACUGAUGAUUUCUUUUAAAGGGUAUUUUCGUCAUUUGAAAGGUUCGACGGUUGCCCCAGUUGGCUAAUUCCUCCGGCUUUAAGAAAAUAAAAUAAAGUACAUCGGUGUUUCUUGGCUGUCCUACCCCUUCAAUUCCGGCGAGUUUGACCGCCGGUGUUUAGUCUCGAAUAAAGUUCUUUGAAUUAUGAAUUUGUAUCUCUAUCAAUUAAAUUGUGAUGCAUUUCUAAAUUUAUGAUGAGAUAGGAAUAUUUAAUCUAACAAAUGGACAGAUUAUUCAAGAAACUGCUGACCUAGCAAAAGUGAAAGCGAGAAUAUUAAGAAUAAGUCUCAAAAAAAAAAUUAUGUCGAAAAGAAAAAGGAAAAAUAACUGUGG